GGAGCUGGGCUGGUGUGCGCGCGGCCGGAGUCUGUGGAGCUGGAAAUUCACCGGUCCAGGAAGACGUCUUUCCCGCGUCCCAGCACCGGUCCAGAAAGACGUCUUUCCCGCGUCCCAGCACCUCGGGCCACGCUCCUUCGUGAGAGCGCCCUCUCCAAGGAGGCCGGCCCUGGAUAUUUCACCCAAAAUAUUUAUUUUUUCUUUUUUUCUAGGGUCUCACCUUGUUGCCCAAGCUGGAGUGCAGUUGCCUGAUAUCAGCUCACUGCAACCUCCACCUCCCAGGCUCAAGCUAUCCUCCUGCCUCAGCCUUCCAAGUAGCUGGGACCACAGGUGUGCACCAUCACGCCCAGAGUCGGGGGUCUCCCUAUGUUUCCCAGGCUGGCCUCGAACUCCUGACCUCAAGUGAUCCUCCCACCUCAGCCUCCCCGAGUGCUGGGAUUAAAGACGUGAGCCACGGCACCUGGCCUGAAUUUUCCUCAAAUUCAAAAAAUCCUGAUGAAGGUUUGGCUAAAAUCUUUGGUGAGUUACCCCACUCCCUGUGGAACCUCAGGCUGGAUUUGAAGAGUUGCGUGCAUGGUCCUCAUUGUCUCCCAGGUAACCUGUUCCCGCUGCUGUGAAGGGAAGGCAGGUGCUCUUCCUUGAGGCUAGAAUCUGUCUACGUGUCACAGUCUCAGGAAAUUAAGCAAAACAGAUGAUAAACACCUCAAAAGGACCCUACUGAGCAUC
rnacentral:misc_RNA from 1 species